rnacentral:rRNA from 1 species
CCUACGGGAGGCAGCAGUGGGGCAUAUUGCACAAUGGGGGAAACCCUGAUGCAGCGACGCCGCGUGAGUGAGGAAGUAUUUCGGUAUGUACAGCUCUAUCAGCAGGGAAGAAAACGCCGGUACCUGACUAAGAAGCCCCGGCUAACUCCGUGCCAGCAGCCGCGGGAAUACGGCGGGGGCAAGCGUUAUCCGGAUUUCAUGGGUGGAAAGGGAGCGUAGACGGCUAAUCAAGUCAGAAGUGAAAACCCAGGGCUCAACCUUGGGACUGCUUUUGAAACUGAGUAGCUAGAGUGCAGGAGAGGUAAGCGGAAGUCCUAGUGGAGCGGUGAAAUGCGUAGAUAUUAGGAGGAACAACAGUGGCGAAGGCGGCUUACUGGACUGUAACUGACGUUGAGGCUCGAAAGCGUGGGGAGCAAACAGGAUUAGAUACCCGAGUAGUC